rnacentral:rRNA from 1 species
AUUGAACGCUGGCGGCAUGCCUUACACAUGCAAGUCGAACGGCAGCACGGGAGCAAUCCUGGUGGCGAGUGGCGAACGGGUGAGUAAUAUAUCGGAACGUGCCCAGUCGUGGGGGAUAACGCAGCGAAAGCUGUGCUAAUACCGCAUACGAUCUACGGAUGAAAGCGGGGGAUCGCAAGACCUCGCGCGAUUGGAGCGGCCGAUAUCAGAUUAGCUAGUUGGUGAGGUAAAGGCUCACCAAGGCGACGAUCUGUAGCUGGUCUGAGGGGACGACCAGCCACACUGGAACUGAGACACGGUCCAGACUCCUACGGGAGGCAGCAGUGGGGAAUUUUGGACAAUGGGCGCAAGCCUGAUCCAGCAAUGCCGCGUGCAGGAUGAAGGCCUUCGGGUUGUAAACUGCUUUUGUACGGAACGAAACGGUGAGCUCUAAUACAGUUUGCUAAUGACGGUACCGUAAGAAUAAGCACCGGCUAACUACGUGCCAGCCGCCGCCGUAAUAC